CUUGUUUGACUGUAAAAACCUGUUUCGUCUGUUGUUUUUAUAUAUUUUAAAUGUGUAACACCAGUUGAGAAACGGUGAAACGUUGUUUCGUGUAUAUUGUUGAAAUAACAAUAAAACACACUUGAAUUGAAUGCCUCACUGUUUGUCUAUAUAUGUAAAUGGUAGGCAUUGCUU